rnacentral:rRNA from 1 species
AGAGUUUGAUCCUGGCUCAGAAUCAACGCUGGCGGCGCGCUUAACACAUGCAAGUCGAACGAGAAAGGGGAGCAAUCCCUGAGUACAGUGGCGUACGGGUGAGUAACACGUGGGUAAUCUACCUUUUGGUGGGGAAUAACCCUGGGAAACCGGGGCUAAUACCGCAUAAUCUCGAAAGAGGAAAGGAGCAAUUCGCCGAAAGAGGAGCCCGCGGCUGAUUAGCUAGUUGGUGAGGUAAAGGCUCACCAAGGCAAUGAUCGGUAGCCGGCCUGAGAGGGCACACGGCCACACUGGCACUGAAACACGGGCCAGACUCCUACGGGAGGCAGCAGUGGGGAAUCUUGCACAAUGGGGGCAACCCUGAUGCAGCGACGCCGCGUGAGCGAUGAAGCCCUUCGGGGUGUAAAGCUCUUUCGGCAGGGACGAUAAUGACGGUACCUGAAGAAGAAGCUGCGGCUAACUACGUGCCAGCAGCCGCGGUAAUACGUAGGCAGCGAGCGUUGUUCGGAGUUACUGGGCGUAAAGAGUGCGUAGGCGGUUUUCUAAGUUUGGUGUGAAAUCUCCCGGCUUAACUGGGAGGGUGCGCCGAAAACUGGAAGGCUUGAGUAUGGGAGAGGUAAGCGGAAUUCCUGGUGUAGCGGUGAAAUGCGUAGAUAUCAGGAGGAACACCUGCGGUGUAGACGGCUUACUGGACCAUAACUGACGCUGAGGCACGAAAGCGUGGGUAGCAAACAGGAUUAGAUACCCUGGUAGUCCACGCCCUAAACGAUGCAUACUUGGUGUGGGUAGUUCAUUCUAUCCGUGCCGGAGCUAACGCGUUAAGUAUGCCGCCUGGGGAGUACGGUCGCAAGGCUGAACUCAAAGGAAUUGACGGGGGCCCGCACAAGCGGUGGAGCAUGUGGUUUAAUUCGACGCA